CCGAGUUUACAACUCCCAAACCCCUGUGAACAUACCUUUAUGUUGCCUCGGCGGAUCAGCCCGCGCCCCGUAAAACGGGACGGCCCGCCGCAGGAAACCCUAAACUCUGUUUUUAGUGGACUUCUGAGUAUAAAAAACAAAUAAAUCA
rnacentral:misc_RNA from 1 species